CUGACUUCUACAUUUAACCCUCCCAAUAAAGU
rnacentral:piRNA from 1 species